UACGGAGGGUGCAAGCGUUAUCCGGAUUCACUGGGUUUAAAGGGUGCGUAGGUGGGUUGGUAAGUCAGUGGUGAAAAUCUCCAGGCUUAACUUGGAAACUGCCAUUGAUACUAUCAAUCUUGAAUACCGUGGAGGUCAGCGGGAAUAUGUCAUGUAGCGGUGAAAUGCUUAGAUAAUGACAUAGAACACCAAUUGCGAAAGGCAGC
rnacentral:rRNA from 1 species